rnacentral:rRNA from 1 species
CCUACGGGUGGCAGCAGUGAGGAAUAUUGGUCAAUGGGCGUAAGCCUGAACCAGUCAAGUCGCGUGAGGGAUGAAGGUUCUAUGGAUCGUAAACCUCUUUUAUAAGGGAAUAAAGUGCGGGACGUGUCCCGUUUUGUAUGUACCUUAUGAAUAAGGAUCGGCUAACUCCGUGCCAGCAGCCGCGGUAAUACGGAGGAUCCGAGCGUUAUCCGGAUUUAUUGGGUUUAAAGGGUGCGUAGGCGGCUUUUUAAGUCAGCGGUGAAAGUUUGUGGCUCAACCAUAGAAUUGCAGUUGAAACUGGCAGUCUUGAGUAUGUUUGAGGUAGGCGGAAUGCGUGGUGUAGCGGUGAAAUGCUUAGAUAUCACGAAGAACCCCGAUUGCGAAGGCAGCCCACCGAGCUAUGACUGACGCUGAGGCACGAAAGCGUGGGGAUCAAACAGGAUUAGAUACCCGGGUAGUC